CGGCAACAGCUCAAAUUUGAAAUCUGGCUCUUUCAGGGUCCGAGUUGUAAUUUGUAGAAGAUGCUUCGGGUGAGGCUCUGGUCUAAGUUCCUUGGAACAGGACGUCAUAGAGGGUGAGAAUCCCGUCUGGGAUGGAUGGUUGUGCCCAUGUGAAGCUCCCUCGAC
rnacentral:rRNA from 1 species